GGGGGGGGGGGGGGGGGGGGGGGGGGGGGGGGGGGGGGGGGGGGGGGGGGGGGGCUUGCGUCGCUGGGGUUGGCGGCGGGCGGGUGGGUGAGACGUGGAUAGCCUACCUAUAAGACUGGGGUAACUUCGGGGAACCGGGGCUAAUACCGGAUCAUAUUUUGAACCGCAUGGUUCAAAAGUGGAAGACUGUCUUGCUGUCCCUUCUAGAUGGAUCCGCGCUGCAUUAGCUAGUUGGUAGGUAACGGCCUACCAAGGCCACGAUGCAUAGCCGACCUGAGAGGGUGAUCGGCCACACUGGAACUGAGACACGGUCCAGACUCCUACGGGAGGCAGCAGUAGGGAAUCUUCCGCAAUGGGCGAAAGCCUGACGGAGCAACGCCGCGUGAGUGAUGAAGGUCUUCGGAUCGUAAAACUCUGUUAUUAGGGAAGAACAUAUGUGUAAGUAACUGUGCACAUCUUGACGGUACCUAAUCAGAAAGCCACGGCUAACUACGUG
rnacentral:rRNA from 1 species